GCUGAUCGACGCAUGCGCAGACUACGCCAGAGCGCACGCGAGUGCACGCGAACGCAGUGGAAGCGUGCGCGCCCUCAGAUCAAUCGGACAUGGCGGUGUACAAGAGAGAAAGUUCCCUAUACCGACCAUUUUAUGACUGACAGACUACAACGGGUUGACUCAAAAUUGGAUCUAAUGAAGAAAAAAAGACAUCUACACAUUAGAUGCCCUUGGGGUCAACAGAAGGCAGUGUCUAGCCACAACUCUUGAGAUGUUUUGGUGAGGAAUGGACUUGAGUGGAGGGAGAGGAGAAUGUGACAGGUCAAAGUUUAUAAUAUACACGCACACUAAUAACUUUAGAACUGUCCUCCAAGCUCAAAUACGCACAUAUACACACAAGCUCAUAACCCUAGAGACGCGCUCAAACAAAACACACACACUAGCACAUUGUUGGCCAGGGCUCAGGCCUCUACGUAAACAGCAGCUCAGGCUAAUGAAUAACUCCAGAACACUGAGCAGACAGAGAAACCAGAAGCUCCUGUUUCUCGUUUGAUAGGUCAGGAUGAUGUAAAGAGUAAAUAUGCAGUGAUGAGUCAUAUAAUGAUUAUUGUGAUUGUUUGUUUUAUUGAUUAUUCUUGUUAACACAGAUCAGGAGUUAAGCGCAGGUUGACAGACAGUGUGACAGAAAGAGUCACUCCAGGUAAUUAUUCUUUUAAUUUCUAAACUUGCCACAAAAAGACCAUAACUGUGUCCAGUGAACUUCCUGAUUCUUCCUGAUCAGUGAACAUGUUUUAAAUUAUUAUUAACUAUCACUGAACCAUUAACUAUGGAAGUAAAACAGGAAACAUGAAUCGCAUCUGCUAAAAGUUGUUUAUUUGCAUUCUUUCUGAGGGGUAGUUUCAUGAAUAAAGUGUAAUAAUCUGUAAUAUUCCUACUAAUUAUCUACUCAUUCUGCUAGUUUACUACCAUUCGAAAGUUUGUGGUCAGUAAAGUUUAAUAAUAAUAACAUAAAUGAAUGCUUUUAUUUAGCAAGGACACUUCAAGACUUGAAAUGAAGACAUUUGCAUUAGAAAUUUCCAAUUUAAUCUAAAAACUAC